CCGGCCUGCAAAUAAGCGGGGCCCACUGUCAGCAACAGAGUCGUCCGUGGAGUCCAUCCGUGGAGCUGCCGCCGUCGCCGCGCCCGCCGCCCCGCGCUCCCGCCCCCAUGGCCGCGCCCGCCGCCGCGCGCGCCCGCCCUAGCACACGCCGCCAAAUCCUCGCCGGCCGUGCGCGCGCCGUAGCGCCCUCGCCCGCCGCGCCACGUGCCGCCCCCGGCCUUCGUGCUGCGCGCUGGCAUGGCACUGCCUCCGCCUCCUCCGCCCAGCGCCGAUUCCUCCCGGCGCCGGGUCGCCUGCUGCUCGUCGUCGCCCGCUGUCACAUGCUCUCCCCUGCCUCAGUUCACCGGGCCGGGAACCACAUUGCAAACGCCGCUAUGAAAAUGCUUUUGUGCUGCGUAGCAGGUUAAAUUAUGUUUGAACUUUAUUAUGGAUAAUGGAGGUUGGAAACAGCAGAGGAAAACAGCUAACGUGGUAAAAAGAUUGAUAAGUUGCAAAGCCAGUUCAGGUGAUCUGACGUAGUGGUUACUAUCCGCCGGACCAAGAAAAGUGAUUCUCCGUGUAGCAAAGUUGGUACAUGUCAAAUGUUUCCUUUCAGAAUUCAAACCGUUUGAACAUGCAUUAUAGUUUGUAUCCACCGCUGACACAUUGUGAGGAAUGUACAGCCGUACAGGGCAACCGCAAGUGCAGAUGAUAGUUGAAGAUGAGCGUGAGGAGCCUGACGAUUGUAACUACCAUCAAGAGCCGAACGGUAUCCGUGUGUUGAAGCCCAAGGACUAUGAGCAUCGUGUUCCUCUUCUUCUAAAUGACUUCCUCAAGAUACACGAAGAAAUUGAGGAUAGGUCGUCACAUGAGCGACUUCGUGAUGAUCUAGUAGAGCAUAUAUAGGCAAGAUAUAGUGCUAGGUAGUUCUCAUGUAAUUUAUUCAUGUUAUAUUUAAUGUGUGAAAAUUAGAAUUCAGAUUCUUGUUCAGUUUACCUUUUGUGAAAAUCUGAAUGUUAUAUUUGGAUCUGCAAUAAAAUAAUGUUUCUAAA